GUUGAUAGAGGGAUCUGCUGCAGAAAAAGGAGAGAGAGAAAAGGUAAAUGCUAGCUACGAGAGCAGAGAGAGGAAGAGAGAGAGAGCGACAGUGACUGAGAAGAAGAAGAAGAAGGAGAAGAAAAGUGGUAAUCAGGAGUGAGAGGCAAUCUCGUUGAUUGGACAAUCGAAAAUGGUCAGCCACAUGGAGGCAGAAAAAGUUGUCGGGGGGAAGAUGGGCACUCAACUUUGCGAUAAAAAAACCCAACUUUGGAAUCCCUAAAGUUCGUUGAAAGUUGAAAGGAACUAGAACUCGAGCGGCACCAGACUUCAAAAUGUCUAUCAUAGAUUCAGAGCGGACGGGAAAAUCAUUAGCACGCGAGAAAUCGAACGUCUUUGGUUAUUGUUGAGUGAUUUCUUUUACGUAUAAGCGCGAUUUGGUGGAAGAUUUACUCGAAAAAUUUUGUAAAUACUUCUGGUUCCCCCUAGACUCGAAGCAAAUGUUAGGAAUUUAGUAAUGUUUUGCUAGCCCAAAAUUAAGAUGGUAGUUGAUGUAGGUGAGUGAAGGACCCGAUCGAGAAUGGGGCUUGAACAUUGUCCAGGAAGUGUGUCUAUUGGGAUAGGGUCCAUGCUUGAUGAUUUCAAAAGAUUUUGCCUUCUCCGUUUGUA